rnacentral:rRNA from 1 species
UACGUAGGGUGCAAGCGUUGUCCGGAAUUAUUGGGCGUAAAGAGCUCGUAGGCGGUUUGUCACGUCGGAUGUGAAACCCUGAGGCUCAACCUCAGGCCUGCAUUCGAUACGGGCAGACUAGAAUUCGGCAGGGGAGACUGGAAUUCCUGGUGUAGCGGUGAAAUGCGCAGAUAUCAGGAGGAACACCGGUGGCGAAGGCGGGUCUCUGGGCCGAUAUUGACGCUGAGGCGCGAAAGCCAGGGGAGCAAACGGG